rnacentral:rRNA from 1 species
UACGUAGGGUCCGAGCGUUGUCCGGAGUUACUGGGCGUAAAGCGCGCGCAGGCGGCGGUGUUGGCCCGGCGUGAAAGCCCCCGGCUCAACCGGGGAGAGUCGUCGGGGACCGCACCGGCUUGAGGGCGGUAGGGGCUGGUGGAAUGCCUGGUGUAGUGGUGAAAUGCGUAGAUAUCGAGAGGAACACCUGCGGCGAAGGCGGGUUGCUGGGCUGACACUGACGCUGAGGCGCGAAAGCCAGGGGAGCGAACGGG